GACGAACGCUGGCGGCGUGGAUUAGGCAUGCAAGUCGGACGGUAGGGCUUUAUCGUAAGAUAGAGUUUGAGAGUGGCGAACGGGUGAGUAACACGUAGGAAUCUACCCUUAAGACGGGGACAACCCAGGGAAACUUGGGCUAAUACCGGAUGAGAGUGCGAGAGAUUGCAUUUAAAAGGAUGGCGAAAGUUGUCGCUUAGGGAUGAGCCUGCGGUCUAUUAGUUAGUUGGUGAGGUAAGAGCUCACCAAGGCGAUGAUAGAUAGGCGGCCUUAACGGGUGGUCGCCCACACUGGGAUUGAGAUACGGCCCAGACUCCUACGGGAGGCAGCAGUCGAGAAUAGUCUACAAUGGCCGGAAGGCUGAUAGUGCGACGCCGCGUGAAGGAAGAAGGCCUUCGGGUUGUAAACUUCUUUGAUGAGGGACGAAGGAAGUGACGGUACCUCAAAAACAAGCCACGGCUAACUACGUG
rnacentral:rRNA from 1 species